CCUACGGGGGGCAGCAGUGAGGAAUAUUGGUCAAUGGACGAGAGUCUGAACCAGCCAAGUAGCGUGAAGGAUGACUGCCCUAUGGGUUGUAAACUUCUUUUAUAUGGGAAUAAAAUGUUCCACGUGUGGGAUUUUGUAUGUACCAUAUGAAUAAGGAUCGGCUAACUCCGUGCCAGCAGCCGCGGUAAUACGGAGGAUCCGAGCGUUAUCCGGAUUUAUUGGGUUUAAAGGGAGCGUAGGUGGAUUGUUAAGUCAGUUGUGAAAGUUUGCGGCUCAACCGUAAAAUUGCAGUUGAAACUGGCAGUCUUGAGUACAAUAGAGGUGGGCGGAAUUCGUGGUGUAGCGGUGAAAUGCUUAGAUAUCACGAAGAACUCCGAUUGUGAAGGCAGUUCACUGGACUGCAACUGACACUGAGGCUCGAAAGUGUGGGUAUCAAACAGGAUUAGAUACCCGGGUAGUC
rnacentral:rRNA from 1 species